GACGAACGCUGGCGGCGUGCCUAAUACAUGCAAGUCGAACGCAGUGGGGACGGGUGAGUAACACGUGGGUAACCUCCCAUCAGAGGGGAUAACACUUGGAAAAAGGUGCUAAACCGAUAUUUAAGGAUGGACCCGCGGUGCAUUAGGUAGUUGGUGAGGUAACGGCUCAACAAGGCCACGAUGCAUAGCGGACCUGAGAGGGUGAUCGGCCACACUGGGACUGAGAAACGGCCCAGACUCCUACGGGAGGCAGCAGUAGGGAAUCUUCGGCAAUGGACUAAAGUCUGACCGCGCAACGCCGCGUGAGUGAAGAAGGUUUUCGGAUCGUAAGACUCUGUUGUUGGAGAAGCGGUAUCUAACCAGAAAGCCACGGCUAACUACGUGCCAGCAGCCGCGGUAAGUC
rnacentral:rRNA from 1 species